rnacentral:ncRNA from 1 species
CACAACCGGUGGAGCAUGUGGUUUAAUUCGAGACGAAGCGAAAGACCUCACCACGGUUUGACAUUUUAUCGUUUAUUCUGUUAGAAAUAAUGGAAGAUCCGCAAGGAUGAUAAGAAAGCUGCUGCAUGGCUGUCGUCAGCUCGUACCGUGAGGUGUUCCCUUAAGUGGGCUAACGAGCGCAACCCUCACUGUUUGUUAAAUUUUCAAACAGGACUGCCUCGACUUUUGUCGGGGAGGAAGGUGAGGACGACGUCAAGUCAGCACGGCGCCUAUGCCGUGGGCAACACACAUCCUACAAUGGCGAAUAACAAUGAGUCGCAAGGCUGCGAAGCCAAGCAAAUCUCUGAAAUUUCGCCUCAGUUGGAAUUGGAGUCUGCAACUCGACUCCAUGAACUCGGAAUCGGUAGUAAUCGCGAAUCAGCAGGUCGCGGUGAAUACGUUCUCGGGUCUUGCACACACCGCCCGUCAAGCCAACAAAGUCGAGAGCGGCCAAUGUUCAGCUCAGCUGGAUGAAGCCGAACCCGGCGAUGGGGACUAAGUCGUAACAAGGUAUCCCUACUGGAAGGUGGGGAUGGAUCACCUCCUUU